rnacentral:rRNA from 1 species
CAGCCGCCGCGGGAAUACGUAGGUGGCAAGCGUUGUCCGGAUUUAUUGGGCGUAAAGCGAGCGCAGGCGGUCAGUUAAGUCUGAUGUGAAAGCCCCCGGCUCAACCGGGGAGGGUCAUUGGAAACUGGUUGACUUGAGUGCAGAAGAGGAGAGUGGAAUUCCAUGUGUAGCGGUGAAAUGCGUAGAUAUAUAGAGGAACACCAGUGGCGAAGGCGACUCUCUGGUCUGUAACUGACGCUGAGGCUCGAAAGCGUGGGUAGCAAACAGGAUUAGAUACCCCCGUAGUCCCUGUCUCUUAUAC